CAGAAAGGGAAAAAAAGAGAGUUUUAGAAAUUCCAUACAAUUUUGGGACAUAUAUUAACAUUAUUCAUUAAAAUAUAACCUGAAGA